AGAGUUUGAUUCUGGCUCAGGAUGAACGCUGGCGGCGUGCUUAACACAUGCAAGUCGAACGGGAAUGCCACGCUGAUGCGAUUUCGGUCAAAUCAUGUGGCAUUCGAGUGGCGGACGGGUGAGUAACGCGUGGGUAACCUGCCUUACACAGGGGGAUAACACCUGGAAACAGGUGCUAAUACCGCAUAAGCGCACAGGGCCGCAUGGCCCGGUGUGAAAAACUCCGGUGGUGUAAGAUGGACCCGCGUCUGAUUAGCUUGUUGGCGGGGUAGGGGCCCACCAAGGCGACGAUCAGUAGCCGGCCUGAGAGGGUGGACGGCCACAUUGGGACUGAGACACGGCCCAAACUCCUACGGGAGGCAGCAGUGGGGGAUAUUGGACAAUGGGGGAAACCCUGAUCCAGCGACGCCGCGUGAGUGAAGAAGUAUUUCGGUAUGUAAAGCUCUGUCAGCAGGGAAGAAAGAAAUGACGGUACCUGACCAAGAAGCCCCGGCUAACUACGUGCCAGCAGCCGCGGUAAUACGUAGGGGGCAAGCGUUAUCCGGAAUUACUGGGUGUAAAGGGAGC
rnacentral:rRNA from 1 species